CGUUACACCUUGUUUAUCCCAAUGUGAACUAUUGAACUCUCUGCAAGUCAUUUGUUACAUUUGUUUCUCCCGAUGUACUGAAUAAAAGGUGUGGUAAGCUGGGGGCUUUUGUCUUUGCUGCGCAGAGCAGCACUGAUCAGACCCAAAGCUCAGCUUCUUCUCAGUCUCAUUUUUCUACCUUUCCUGUCAUUUGCCGUGUGCUGCCGUGGCUCGCAGGAGACCAGGACUCACUGCAGAGGUUCUGGGUCUCACUAUGUAGUUUAGGCUGGCCUUGAACUCACCAAGUAGUCCUCCUGCCUCAGCCUCCUGAGUUCUGGAAAGCAUUUUUCAGCAGUAACUCCCCAAGACAAGAAGUCCCAGUCAUACGCUUGGAGCUGCUGCCCUAGCCUGAGCAGUACCGAGUGGAUGGACCUGUGGGAGAGAUGCCCAGAAGCCAGCAGAACCAGCUCCUGGGACCUGGGUGUCGCUUUGAGAGCUUCUCCUUCAUGCCUGGACUCCUGGAGAAGCCUGCCCAGCUCUGGGUACACAGACAGCAUCUUCACCAUUGGCCACUCUAGAAAAGAGAGCCUGCCUCUCACCAGCCGUUCUCAUAGGUGAUUUUUAGUCAUAUGUCAACCCAACCGGAUUAAGCAAAGCCUAGGAGAUUAGUAAGCACAGUGCUGGGUGUGUCUGCAGGAUAACUGCACAAAGGCCAGCAGAGAAUGGAAGGCCCACCCAGGUUGAGGUAGCAUCAACCAACAGGGUUGCAGCCUAGAUGGAAUAUGAAAGAGAAAGAAGGAACUUGGGCAUGCUUUUUGGAAGUUCCAUUCUGCUUGGGUGAGGGCAUCGUUUGCUGCCAUGGACAUCAGACUCCAGUUCCUUCAACCUUCUGAUGCAGACUCUAUGAGCUCCAGGGAGCAUCCAGGCCUUCAACCUUGGAUUGGUGCUUCACCUUUGAUCUCUCUUAUUCUGUGGUUGUGUCUUCUGGAGCUGGGUGGCUACUGGAACCUUUGGCUCUCCAGCACGUAGACAGUCACUGUGGAUUCUCCUGCCUCUGAUCUUGUGAGCUACCCAAUAAAUCCUCUUACAUAAAUACGUGUGUAGAGAGCACGAGAACCCUAACCAACAUACCAUAGAAGGUCUAUUGCUUGACUCACACCAUGAACCCAUCCCAAGUGCAGUCAGUCCGGCCAAGUGAAUGUGAUGCUUUGAUCAAGCCCCAGUCAUAUGUCUGUCUCUGCAACUUGCUUCACUCCAAAUAUGUAGACAGAAAACAGCUAACAAAAGGUGUUUCUUACACCUAGGAAAACCGUGUAACUUACUGAAUAAAGCAGGUCCCUUUUGAAAGUAAAGGGAGAACUCAAUUAAACCAAGGCAUAAGCAUGCACUGAACUGAGCGGACAACCUGGACAGAGCCUGCCUUACCCAGCGGAAGAGCAAGGCACUGUUGCCGGGGCUGUUGCAUACUGAAGGCUGAGAGGGUGCAGAGCCUGUGGGGUCCCACUAUGUGCACACAUAGUUAGUUACAAUUGUUACAGAUUGGAAAAAUUGAAUUUUUUUCAAUAAGCUUAUAAAAAGAACUUUGCAUUGCUUUGCUGGAACACACUAUUGGUUUUACCUCUUCUUCUAACUGGUAGACACCUCUGUAAUUCUAUUCACUGCACGGGUCCCUGUUUCCUCAUGUGAACUUGGUAUUUACCUGGGCAUCUUUCAUGUUCUUGGUGGCUCUGUGGCUCUCUGGGACGACAUCUGACAUGGGUCAUAGGUGAGACCAAGCCAAGGCGGGAGGGAGAGCACUGGCUGUGAGUCAGCAUGAAACCCUCCCACGUGCUUCUCUCCAUGCGGCAGAUUUGCACUUCAAAGCCACAACAACAGCAGUAGCAACAUGCAUGUGACAGUCCUCCCUGUCUGCCUGCAAAGCUAGUGAGGUCCUUAUGUUACUUCACUUGUUUUCAUUCAACUCAGUGAAUGAAGCAUUGUUAACCCACCUUAUAGAAAAGCAAGCUGUCACCUCCCUCAGCCAUCCCAGGAAUCUGUAGCACCGGCUUACUGUGUGCCAGACGCUUUUCUGGGUGCCAAGGUACAGUGAGGUGCGAGAUGAUACGGUCUCAGACAUCACAGUAUUUUUACAUUCUUUGGAGGUCAGGCUACUAGGGUGACAACAGAACCUCUGUGAAUAAUAUGGGACUAAAACUUAUUAGACUAGACACAAAUGUGGGUUUUCUUGGGUUAUAAGUACCCAAAGAAAACCAAAAAAGACAUUAAUCAUCUCUUGAGUGAGUCAAAGAAGAGAAGUAGGCAAGUCUAGGUUCAGAGUGAUUCCAGAGAUCUGCGGAAGGUAAGGUUGUUGGCUCCACAGACAGAACUGCCACCCCUGUGAAUUUAUGCAGCAGCCUCUGGUGGGGUCCUGUGCCUGCUGCUGGUCACCAAAUGUAGAGGGAAGAAAAGAGAUGACAACCUGGAAAUCACUGGCACAUCUUCAUCUGUGCUUCAGCACCUCCAACCAAUCAUGACCUUCAGAGAUCAGUGACAGCUGAUGGAGAAAGGCAUCACUACCCAUCUCGAAUCUCUGACAGCAGCAUUAGCCUCCUUCCAUCAAGGAAGGGGAUUCUGAGAAAUGUGACCCCAAUGCACCUGCAGUUCACUUUCACUGACAGAGCACAAUGCCCCUGUGGCCAGGCAGGCAGGGAGGGUGGUGGUGUGUGGAUGGACAAUAAAGCAACCAUAGAGGUAAACCAAAAUGAAAACAUUAGAUGGUAGGUGUAGAUAAUGAAAGAUCAAGACUGUAUUAUAGAAUCUCUGGUUACCUUAAAACAGGGCAGGGAGCUUUUCAGAGCUGAUAAAUAGAGAUUCAGAAAUUCAAACCCAAGCACUGUGACUCUGGAGGCCAUUCUCUUAUCUCAGUCGCAAAUCCCACGCAGACUGGACUGAUGCUAAGAACUCCCUACGGGUGGAGCCUGUGCCUUUACAGUGCAGAUUCUCAAGUGCCUAAGGAGCAGCAGGAUGAGAACCUUAGGAGCCUGGCACUCAUGCUUUUAACCUGGGCCGACGUUUAGCAGAUCAGUUGAGAAUGCCCAGUCAGUGCUUGCCAAAGGAGUGGUGAAUUCCUGCAGCGCCUUUCUCACAUAUUUCUGAAAAGAAGAUUAAAUUGCCCCUUACAGUUUGAACCACCAGCCUUUCAGUUAGCAAUGAAAUGCACUACAGAGACAACUUGAGCUCUCAGUUACUUAGCUGUAGCCAAGAAGUCUCCUCCUUAUGACAUUUUUUCAGAAUAGUACCCAGGACGCAGCAACACACACCUUCCAUACACUCUUCUGGUUCAUCAUUAAAACACAGGGUGUGUGUGUGUGUGUGUGUGUGUGUUCACAGAGUGGAGCCCCCAAAGCUUUUAACUCCUCAAAACUAUUUAACAAGCACUGUGUUUAGACAUCUCAGCAACUUCCUCAUCCACUUGGGACAGACGUGCAUGUAGAAGCGGCCUCAUCUCCAUGGAAAGGCUUCCAGGCUUCAGAAACAGUCUAAAAGGCAAAACGUCCUCAGAAACAAUAAGAAUUCAUCAACAUUAAUGGGAACUUCUCUCUCUCCAGUGCUGAGUGCUUCCAGCGGGAUUAAUUGUUUAAUAUUCACAAAGGACUUUGAAGAUGAAAAGAUCCACAGAAAGGCUGAAAAUGAACACUCACUUUAUUUGUGUUUCUCAACCUGUAGUUGAAUCUGCAGGGCUGCCCUGACUUUGAAGCAGCUCCAAGAUUAUAAUAAUGAUGACCACCUUUGGAGUGGGGAGAACAGAGUCCACGGGGAGGAAUAAUUUAGACUCAGUGAUGUUUCCAGCAACGGCAAAGCAAGAUCUUUGGUAUCAAACAGAGCCAGCUGUGUGACCUUGGGCAAAUUACUUACAAACUCUGAGACACUACUUCCUCAACUGAAAGAAUGGAAUAAUUGCAUCUACCUGGUUAUUGUCAAAUUAGAGGUGAUUUAAAGGACUUUGACAGGGCCUGGAAUCUUGCUGGUACUUUUGCAAUUACAACGUUGUUGCUAUUGCCAACAUUGGAGGAAUAUUAAUGAAUAUGGUUUCCAAUAUUUGAUGCUGCAGAAGCCAACCCUGAUCUUAAUUAAAUUUUUCAGAAUUUUUAAAAAGGGUAAAAAAACCCAGCUGACAGACAAAAAUCAUUGAGUCAUUUGUGAGUAUGUGUGUGAGUCUAGCAGUGGAUUCGGUUACUAUUUACUCAAGAUUAAACAAGUCUAAGGAAUCCCUAUUUCAUAACUGCUUUACUUUCCCUCCAUUAUUCUAAUUUCUUUAAUACAGCUCUACCAGUGACUCCAGCUUCAAUCCUCACUGCUGUGGCCAGUACUUCUGCAGUGUUUCACAAAGUGCAGAGCUUACAAAGGCCUGUGUAGCCUGAGAGAAGUCCUGCAGUAAACUGAGGCUCUUGUACGUAAUGACCCUGAUCUAGAAGAUGCUAAGGGAGAGAUACAGGUUAUAAGGUCAACCCCACCUCCAUGUCCAGACACCAGGUUAUCUGGGCAUCCACCCAGGUCAUCAGGGCUCUCCAUCCUGGAGCACUGGAAGAAUGAGAUGGGAGUUAGCAGGAGAGGAUGAAGCACUUCAGGGCCUACUCAGCUUUAAAUUCCACCAGGAUUGAAUCCAAGUGGGCAUUCCCUGACCAGCACUGCCUAGUCUUCACUGGAGGUCCCUGUGGGCUCGAGGAUGCUGCCUGGGUAAGUGAUAGUCCUAGCCUGGGAAUCCACUGCCUGUGUCAGGCAUCCCUACUCUGUGCACGUAUGUGGAUUAAACCAGAAGGCCAUGAAGAGAAAAAAGGAAAUCAAAGGCCCUCACUAGUUCCAUUUCCACACAUUGGAAAAAAUCCUUCCUGCUUCAUUGAUUUAUAGAAUAAGCCUCUUGUCUACCCAGAUAUACACAAGUUAGGAGACAUAGCAUUUGAAAACUUUCUGUGCUAAAAAAUGAUGCCUAAAAUUUUGUGAAGUGUCAUGCCCCUUCAAGUAAAGAAGGAGUUAAGAAAAAAAACAAAAUUAGAGUUUCUUGCUGCUCUUCUAGGUUAUCAGAAGUGGGUGGGUGUUAUAGGAAGAAAAGGAGCAAGGACGAAGCUUGUGAUUGCAGCUUAUAAAAUCUAUUUUAAAAUCCUCACUACCCAAACCCAGGACACAACAAUUUGGAUGACUGGGAUUCUAACCUGGGAACAAUAAUGAGAAAGCCCAUGCAAGGACACAGAAAGUGGCCACCUAUCAGCAAUCAAGAGAGACCUGUCCAGAAAACAAACCUGGAAUCAUCUUGAUCUUGGACUUCUAGCAUCCAGAACUGUCACAAAAUAAAUAUCUAAGCUUUAAACCACUGCAUUUGUCGCAUUUUGCUGGAAGAAUAACCCAACACACAGCCAUCUACCAGGACGAUUGUAGUAGUUACAUCUCCAGGGAAAACACUACCAUAGACAUCAUGUAGGAAUUUCCAAGAUAGAAUUUCCUGAAUGGCUCAGGAAGGCUUCUGAGAGGGAGGAACAAUGGAACUGAGUCUGAAUGGUGAGAAGAAACUAGUCAAAGAGAAAGCCACGCUCAGUGGAGAAUUAAAGUAUUCUAGGAAAUGGACUCUAGAUGCCCAGUGCAGAGGCAGACAGAACAGUGCGGGUUAUAGGUAGGGUCAUAGGCCGAGGGGUGGGAGGCGGAGCUGAGGAUCGGGCUCUGGACCUGCCAGGGGUCCUAAGGGGGCUUCACACUCCUUGCCAAAGAUUCUCUGUUUCAGAAGGAUAAUUUUGUAAUUGUUGUGGACAUGUUCUUUGAAAUCCAUUUUAUUUCUAACACUACCAUUUAAUAUUUGGUUUUAUUGGCCACGUUCAUUGAUUACUCUUUGUUGUUGUUUGGUUUUUUUGAGAAAUGGUUUACUGUGCUAUCCAGGCUGGCUCUGAACUUGAGAUUCUCCUGCCUCGGCUUCCCAAGUAGCUGGAACUACAGAUGUAUACAACUGCACCAGGCCCUUCCCAAG
ensembl:lncRNA